CAUCCUAAAUGUGUCAGAACCUGAUUUGUGAGCCUGAAUGCUUUGUGAGCAAUAGGUCUGGUUGGUCUAAUGUGCCCAAACUCUCUUCUUAUGCUGGUUGGACUUGCUUUCAUUUCAGCCUUUCAAAUAGGUUCUCUCCCUGGAUUCAUCUGAGUGAAAGAUAAGAGCCUCUCGAGACACUCCGUGCACAGCGUUGCCCCAAUAUAAGGUAGAAUAGUCACUGGGAAACCAUACAGUCCAUCAGAAGUUACUGGAGGACAGCAGAGGGCAUGGGGUGUGCAGAUCAGAAGGAGAAGGUUUGGCGCUUGCAUCAUACUCUCAGAGGAGUCCAUAUGCACUCUCUCAACAUCAAGAACACUGCACUAGAAUCCCUCAGAAAAAGAGAGUGAUUCCUAGCACUCUUGAAAGCACAAACGAUUACUCAAAUCACUGGGGACAAGCAGC